rnacentral:rRNA from 1 species
CGGGGUCGGAACUUCGGUUCCGGCUUACGUGGCGCACGGGUGAGUAACACGUGGGAAUCUGCCCAUCUAUGGGGAAUAACUGCGGGAAACUGCAGCUAAUACCGCAUACGCCCUUCGGGGGAAAGGCUUCGGCCGUAGAUGGAUGAGCCCGCGUCCGAUUAGCUAGUUGGUGGGGUAAAAGCCUACCAAGGCGACGAUCGGUAGCUGGUCUGAGAGGAUGAUCAGCCACACUGGGACUGAGACACGGCCCAGACUCCUACGGGAGGCAGCAGUGGGGAAUAUUGGACAAUGGGCGAAAGCCUGAUCCAGCAAUGCCGCGUGAGUGAUGAAGGUCUUCGGAUUGUAAAGCUCUUUCGACGGGGAAGAUAAUGACGGUACCCGUAGAAGAAGCCCCGGCUAACUUCGUGCCAGCAGCCGCGGUAAUACGAAGGGGGCUAGCGUUGUUCGGAUUUACUGGGCGUAAAGCGUGCGCAGGCGGCUUGUCAAGUCAGAAGUGAAAGCCCGGGGCUCAACUCCGGAACUGCUUUUGAGACUGGCAGGCUUGAGUUCGGGAGAGGGUAGUGGAAUUCCCAGUGUAGAGGUGAAAUUCGUAGAUAUUGGGAAGAACACCGG